CCCAGACUCCUACGGGAGGCAGCAGUGGGGAAUAUUGCACAAUGGGGGAAACCCUGAUGCAGCGACGCCGCGUGAGCGAUGAAGUAUUUCGGUAUGUAAAGCUCUAUCAGCAGGGAAGAAAAUGACGGUACCUGACUAAGAAGCCCCGGCUAACUACGUGCCAGCAGCCGCGGUAAUACGUAGGGGGCAAGCGUUAUCCGGAAUUACUGGGUGUAAAGGGAGCGUAGACGGUGAAGUAAGUCUGGAGUGAAAGGCGGGGGCCCAACCCCCGGACUGCUCUGGAAACUAUUUGACUGGAGUGCAGGAGAGGUAAGCGGAAUUCCUAGUGUAGCGGUGAAAUGCGUAGAUAUUAGGAGGAACACCAGUGGCGAAGGCGGCUUACUGGACUGUAACUGACGUUGAGGCUCGAAAGCGUGGGGAGCAAACAGGAUUAGAUACCCGCGUAAA
rnacentral:rRNA from 1 species